UGCGGUUGAGACAGCUCAUGUUUGCUUCCAACCUAGAACCACCUCUGCUGGUUAAUACUCGUCUUAACGUCACAUUGUUUGGUGACUAUCUUCUUACCAAUUGAUGAUUGUGUGUUGAAUGCGUUUUCAAGCAAGACAAUGUUCAUGUUAGUUUGUUUCGACGUUCUUCUUGGUACCCUAUCAACCUUGUUCAAGCUUGUGUCUCUAU